rnacentral:rRNA from 1 species
GUCGAGAAUCUUUCACAAUGGGGGCAACCCUGAUGGAGCGACGCCGCGUGGAGGAUAAGGUCUUCGGAUUGUAAACUCCUGUCAUGCGUGAACAAGGUUGCUUGGUUAAUACCUGGGCAAAUUGAUGGUAACGCAAGAGGAAGAGACGGCUAACUCUGUGCCAGCAGCCGCGGUAAUACAGAGGUCUCAAGCGUUGUUCGGAAUCACUGGGCGUAAAGGGUGCGUAGGUGGCGUGGUAAGUCAGAUGUGAAAGCCAGGGGCUCAACCUCGGAACUGCAUCCGAUACUGCCAUGCUAGAGUACUGGAGAGGUGACUAGAAUUCUCGGUGUAGCAGUGAAAUGCGUAGAUAUCGAGAGGAAUACCAAAGGCGUAGGCAGGUCACUGGACAGUUACUGACACUGAGGCACGAAGGCCAGGGGAGCGAACGGGAUUAGAAACCCGGGUAGUCC